GUGUUCACUCUUGAAGCAUAUGCACCCAAACUGGAACCAUACAGAGAUUAGCAAUACCCCUGUAAAAAGAGAAUGUGUAAAUUUGUGAAGAGUAUCAUAUUUUA